AAAUGAAGAAAGAUUCACAGUGGUUCGAGCAGAUGGUGGGUAUACAGCUGUUUCGUGAUUGGUGCUGACUUGAUGGCAGGAGUACAAGGUGACGUGUGAUAAAACUUGAACAAUAGGCACAGACGUGCUAUUCUGCGGCGUGCUGAAAGACUUCCAAGGUUUGCACGAGAUUUUAGUUCGGUGAGACUAGAAUGAUAUCAACCCAUGCAGCACCUGUACUGUUCAGGUAAAGGCACUUCAAGAAGAAAAUCGGGAAUUAAAAGAUGAAGUGGAACAUAUGAAGCGGAUGGCAGAAAAACACGAUUACAUUUAUGGUGGACAUUGGGGCCGGUGUGAGUGUUGAACAAGGCACCCUAGAGAAGCUAUGCUGAGCAUGCGAAAGUGGCCUUGGCAAAUUUGCCAGGGCUCUUUUGUGGAAUGUAUUCACCCCUGAGGAGCUACGGGACGAACCGCUCCUGGGUGAGAAGAGCAACUUGCACUUAAACCAGCCAUUCAAGGAGGCCUUGGACCCUAUUCGUAUCCGAGCUGUGAUUGACUACACAUGCUCCAAGUUUCCCUCUGCCAGCCUCUCCUACAUAAAGGACAUCAUCUCCUCAGUACUGGCAAGAGAAAUGAAAGAGUCUGAAGCUCAAUAAAUUUGUGGGCUAUUGUAUGAAA